GACGAACCGUGCGAACGUUAUUCGGAAUCAUUGGGCUUAAAGGGCGCGUAGACGGACGGCCGCGUCGAGUGCUGAAAUCCCCCGGCUCAACCGGGGAACGGGCCUCGAAACGGGUCGUCUCGAGUGGAGGAGGGGGACCUGGAACGUCCGGUGGAGCGGUGAAAUGCGUUGAGAUCGGACGGAACGCCGACGGCGAAAGCAAGGUCCUGGACUCCGACUGACGUUGAGGCGCGAAAGCCAGGGGAGCGAACGGG
rnacentral:rRNA from 1 species